rnacentral:tRNA from 1 species
UAGAUUGAAGCCAGUUGUUUAGGGUUUUUAGCUGUUAACUAACGUCUCAUGGGUUUAAAUCCCAUCAAUCUAG